CGCUAUGUUGCCCUCAAUGCUCUCGCUGCCCUCGCCACCAACCAUUGACCCAGCCUCACUUGCUAAGCUGCCACUAUGCACCUUCGACUCCUCCCCUUCUCUUCCUUUAAGGUUGGUCUAAGCUGUAUGCAACAAAUUGACAUAAAAGGUACAUUUUUGUAAAAUGGUGGCUUUUCUGUUGGUUUUAUCUCCAUAGCAACCAUUUUAUUUUUUACUCGCCUAGGGUCACCGAACAAAUUAGCAUGACACCUCUUUCGCCAUGUGAAGACUUGAGGAGUAAACAGUGUCUUUACUGAUUACAACGCCUCUUUCUCUAUCUGCAGGCCAAGCAAGCAUGUCACUGGUGGGAUCCAUCUCCAGAGUAUCGACGUGCUACAUUUCUCAGCUUCCCCAGCGGAGGCUGACAUUCAUCUAGAAUCACCCACAUGGAACUUGAGCAGUGCGAAGUAUUGUUUGUGCCACCCUGCCUGCAUUACUGAGCGUUUCUAUCUGGGCCUGAUCUUCUGUUUACCUGACUCUGCUUCAUCUCUGAUUGCUUGCUGCCUGCCCUGACACUUGC